GAUGAACGCUAGCUACAGGCUUAACACAUGCAAGUCGAGGGGAAACGAUAGAGAAAGCUUGCUUUUUCCAGGCGUCGACCGGCGCACGGGUGAGUAACGCGUAUCCAACCUGCCCACCACUUGGGGAUAACCUUGCGAAAGUAAGACUAAUACCCAAUGAUAUCUUAAGAAGACAUCUGAAUGAGAUUAAAGAUUUAUCGGUGAUGGAUGGGGAUGCGUCUGAUUAGCUUGUUGGCGGGGUAACGGCCCACCAAGGCGACGAUCAGUAGGGGUUCUGAGAGGAAGGUCCCCCACAUUGGAACUGAGACACGGUCCAAACUCCUACGGGAGGCAGCAGUGAGGAAUAUUGGUCAAUGGGCGAGAGCCUGAACCAGCCAAGUAGCGUGCAGGAUGACGGCCCUAUGGGUUGUAAACUGCUUUUAUAAGGGAAUAAAGUGAGUCUCGUGAGGCUUUUUGCAUGUACCUUAUGAAUAAGGACCGGCUAAUUCCGUGCCAGCCGCCGCGGUAA
rnacentral:rRNA from 1 species